UCACAUGGUUGGGCCUCUCUUCUCUUCUCCCUCUAUCAAACCGAUCCUCUCCUUGUCAUCGCUGCUAUCUUACCCGUCGUCUCCACUGCCUCGUCGUCAUCACCGCUCGAGAAGAAGCCCGCGCUGCCGCUGCCAUUGUUGUGGCCGCAAGGAAGCCGGCCUCGUCAUCGCUGGGAAAGAGCGGCCUCGUCGUCAUCGCGAAGGAGCUGGCCUCGUCGUCGUCGCGAAGGAGCCGGCCUCAUCGUCGCCCCAAAUUGAAACUCAGUUGAAGAGAGCUGCUUGGAGAGGUAAACUGAAUGUGCACGAACCUUCAUUUGCAUGUUGAAAAGAGCUAAAUCUCUCUUCAUACGCUACGAUGUCAAACACAAGUUGUUUUGAAUAGAGCAGAUGCUUGGAGUACCUGUAAUUGAAGCCAAAAAAAAAAAUUUACAUGUGAGUUCCACUUAUAUCCAUCGUUCUAACAAUUCAAUUAUGUAUGGAAACUUACCAACUAAAGUUGAUUUGGUCAAGUAUUUAUCUGAAUGGGUAAUUUUCGGCUUCUUUGGUAGUACGAGAUUUUUAUCUCAGAUAAAGAGAAUCACUUCAUGGGAGUUCAAUUCGCAUUCAGAAACUGUAGUUGCUAUAACGAUUAGUAAUCCAGAUAUUGAACCAGCAGCCGCAAAAAGUGGAA
rnacentral:lncRNA from 1 species